GUGUGGAACCUGGAGAGACGGAUUCAUCAAGAUUGGUUGAUACUUUAUCAGUAACAUCAACAGUUCUACUUAUCAAAAUAAUUAAUCAAGCUGAAGUCCUCACCAUUGUGUGGUUGUGUUGUAUUGUAUAAUAAUAUAAGCUUAUACCCCUAAUAUAUUUCAGUGUCUAUGACUGCCAUAGGUAUUCAUAAAAAGAUCAACAAUUGAAAUAUCUGUUGAACAUGUUGGAGGUGUUUAAUGGAUCUGUCGAUUGUAGAAUAAUAUAGAAUAAUUAUUGACUGAAUCAUUUGAUUUGGGAGGGAUGGAGUCAUAUGACAGGGGUCCAUGAGGAAAACCUGAUUUGGGGUGGUGUUCAUGGUCUGACUAAAUGGUAGACUGAGACCGAAGGCCAUUCUCUUCUUUCUAUCACUCUCCUCCCUCACCUGUCACAGCCAGCACCCAUGUGGCAUUCUAGAGCACUUAUCACUGCUAAGUCGUCAAGGCAACCCGCUAAAAUAAGGCCCUGACAAGGAGGUGUGAGAGUGACUGAGAAAAAAGGCAAGGAAAACAACUCUUUUACACCGGAGCCAAGCAAACCAGUUUUGUGGCAAUUUGACAGACAUUUAACCGUAUAUAUAUUUGGUUGGCUGGUCAAGAAUUUGCCAGAAAUUUUGACUAUUCUCACUAUGGAAGGAUAUCUCCCUGAUAAGGGAACAUAGGGGGCAGCAGCUGCGCCUCCCAAAUGUCUGGCACUAGGAAACAACAUGGGCAUAGUGGUGUCCAGAGUGACUAACUGUCGUGUAGAACCAUCCAGAAAACGCAGCAGCGCCUUGCAACCAAAAAACAACACCCCCUACAGGAAGGUCAAUGGUACUAUCAAAUCAUCCCAAUGUAACACACUGACUCCAGUGCAGAGACAUACCCAAGGUAGGUUAUCAGCCCAUAUUAGAUCAAGUGGAUAUAAGAUUAAGUAUAAAUGCGGAUUUAAAGUUGUGACUGGAGUUAUCAUGAGGGGAUUUAUGAUCAAAGGACCACAAUCUGGGCCUCCCGAGUGGUACAGCGGUCUAGAGCACUGCAUCGCAAUGCUAGAUGCGUUACUACAGACCUGGGUUCAUUCCCGGGAUGUGCCACGACCGGCCGUGGACGGGAGUCCUAUAGGACGGCACACAAUUGUCCGGGCGAGGGGAGGGUUUGGCCGAUGGGGCUUUACUUGGCUCAUCAUCAUCACGCUCUAG
rnacentral:lncRNA from 1 species